rnacentral:rRNA from 1 species
GACGAACGCUGGCGGCGUGCUUAACACAUGCAAGUCGAACGGAAAGGCCCUGCUUGCAGGGUGCUCGAGUGGCGAACGGGUGAGUAACACGUGGGUGAUCUGCCCCUUACUUUGGGAUAAGCCUGGGAAACUGGGUCUAAUACUGGAUAGGACCAUGUUGUAGGUGGUGUGGUGGAAAGAUUAGUUUCGGUAAGGGAUGAGCUCGCGGCCUAUCAGCUUGUUGGUGGGGUAAUGGCCUACCAAGGCGUCGACGGGUAGCCGGCCUGAGAGGGUGGACGGCCACAUUGGGACUGAGAUACGGCCCAGACUCCUACGGGAGGCAGCAGUGGGGAAUAUUGCACAAUGGGCGCAAGCCUGAUGCAGCGACGCCGCGUGGGGGAUGACGGCCUUCGGGUUGUAAACUCCUUUCAGCCAUGACGAAGCCCUUGUGGUGACGGUAGUGGUAGAAGAAGCACCGGCUAACUACGUGCCAGCAGCCGCGGUAAUACGUAGGGUGCGAGCGUUGUCCGGAAUUACUGGGCGUAAAGAGCUCGUAGGUGGUCUGUCGCGUCAUUUGUGAAAGCCCGGGGCUUAACUCCGGGUUGGCAGGUGAUACGGGCAUGACUGGAGUACUGUAGGGGAGACUGGAAUUCCUGGUGUAGCGGUGAAAUGCGCAGAUAUCAGGAGGAACACCGGUGGCGAAGGCGGGUCUCUGGGCAGUAACUGACGCUGAGGAGCGAAAGCAUGGGUAGCGAACAGG